CCUACGGGAGGCAGCAGUGAGGAAUAUUGGUCAAUGGGCUUACGCCUGAACCAGCCAAGUCGCGUGAGGGAAGACUGCCCUAUGGGUUGUAAACCUCUUUUGUCAGGGAGCAAUUGCAGCUACGUGUAGCGGGAUCGAGAGUACCUGAAGAAUAAGCAUCGGCUAACUCCGUGCCAGCAGCCGCGGUAAUACGGAGGAGGCGAGCGUUAUCCGGAUUUAUUGGGUUUAAAGGGUGCGCAGGAGGAAUAUGAAGUCAGCGGUAAAAUUGAGAGGCUCAACCUGGUCGAGCCGUUGACACUGGUUAUCGUGAGGGGGCGAGAAGUAUGCGGAAUGCGUGGUGUAGCGGUGAAAUGCAUAGAUAUCACGCAGAACUCCGAUUGAGAAGGCAGCAUACCGGCGCUCAACUGACGCUGAUGCACGAAAGUGUGGGUAUCGAACAGGAUUAGAUACCCCGGUAGUC
rnacentral:rRNA from 1 species